rnacentral:rRNA from 1 species
UACAGAGGUCUCAAGCGUUGUUCGGAUUCAUUGGGCGUAAAGGGUGUGUAGGUGGCGCCGUAAGUCGGGUGUGAAAUUUCGGAGCUUAACUCCGAAACUGCAUUCGAUACUGCGGUGCUUGAGGACUGGAGAGGAGACUGGAAUUCAUGGUGUAGCAGUGAAAUGUGUAGAGAUCAUGAGGAAGACCAGUGGCGAAGGCGGGUCUCUGGACAGUUCCUGACACUGAGGCACGAAGGCCAGGGGAGCAAACGGG